UUAUGAAGAUGAUGAAAGAAAUUGACGGGUGAUGAUCAACAUUUUUUUCAUAUGAUCAAAAAAAUACAUUUUCGCUACGUUCUUUCUGAUUCAAUA